CAGGUACAGAGGGAUGCUACCGGGCGACCGGAUGCGGAUCUCGAAAGCCUGUCCCAGUUCGGACUGGAGUCUGCAACCCGACUCCACGAAGUUGGAUUCGCUAGUAAUCGCGCAUCAGCCAUGGCGCGGUGAAUACGUUCCCGGGCCUUGUACACACCGCCCGUCAAGCCAUGGGAGCCGGGGGCGCCUGAAGUCCGGGACCGUGAGGACCGGCCUAGGGCGAAACUGGUAACUGGGGCUAAGUCGUAACAAGGUAGC
rnacentral:rRNA from 1 species